rnacentral:rRNA from 1 species
AUUGAAGUCUGAAAUUCGACUUCAUGAAGCUGGAAUUGCUAGUAAUGGCAGGUCAGCAUACUGCCGUGAAUACGUUCCCGGGCCUUGUACACACCGCCCGUCACACCAUGGGAGUCGGGAAUGCCCGAAGCCGGUGGCCCAAUCGAAAGAAGGGAGCCGUCGAAGGCAGGCCGGAUGACUGGGGUGAAGUCGUAACAAGGUAGC